GUGAGAACACGUAGUCAAUCUACCCUAUGGACGGGGAUAACCUCGGGAAACUGAGGAUAACACCCGAUAGAUCAUAAUGCCUGGAACGGUUUAUGGUUCAAACGAUUCGUCGCCGUAGGAUGGGACUGCGGCCUAUCAGCUUGUUGGUGAGGUAAUGGCCCACCAAGGCUAUUACAGGUACGGGCUCUGAGAGGAGAAGCCCGGAGAUGGGUACUGAGACACGGACCCAGGCCCUAUGGGGCGCAGCAGGCGAGAAACCUUUGCAAUGUGCGCAAGCACGACAAGGUUAAUCCGAGUGUUUCCUGCUAAAGGAAUCUUUUGUUAGUUGUAAAACCACUAUCGAAUAAGGGGUGGGCAAGUUCUGGUGUCAGCCGCUGCGGUAAAACCAGCACCUCAAGUGGUCAGGAGGAUUAUUGGGCCUAAAGCAUCCGUAGCCUGUUCUAUAAGUUUCCGGUUAAAUCCAUUAGCUCAACUAAUGGGCUGCCGAAAAUACUGUAGAACUAGGGAGUGGGAGAGGUAGACGGUAUUCGGUAGGAAGGGGUAAAAUCCUUUGAUCUAUUGAGGACCACCUGUGGCGAAGGCGGUCUACCAGAACACGUUCGACGGUGAGGGAUGAAAGCUGGGGGAGCAAACCGGAUUAGAUACCCGGGUAGUCCCAGCUGU
rnacentral:rRNA from 1 species